AGAGUGAACGCUGGCGGCAGGCCUAACACAUGCAAGUCGAACGGCAGCACAGGGGAGCUUGCUCCCUGGGUGGCGAGUGGCGGACGGGUGAGGAAUGCGUCGGAAUCUGCCUUUUCGUGGGGGAUAACGUAGGGAAACUUACGCUAAUACCGCAUGCGACCCUGUUCCGGAGGAUCAGGGUGAAAGCGGGGGACCUUCGGGCCUCGCGCGGAAAGAUGAGCCGACGCCGGAUUAGCUAGUUGGCGGGUAACGGCCCACCGAAGGCGACGAUCCGUAGCUGGUCUGAGAGGAUGAUCAGCCACACUGGAACUGAGACACGGUCCAGACUCCGUAGGAGGCAGCAGGUGGGGAAUAGUUAGGACAAGUGGGCGUCAAGCCUAGACUCCGAGCCAUGCCGCGUGAGUGAAGACGUCCGUUCGGUA
rnacentral:rRNA from 1 species